rnacentral:rRNA from 1 species
UACGUAGGGGGCAAGCGUUGUCCGGAUUUAUUGGGCGUAAAGAGCGUGUAGGCGGCCGUACAGGUCAGUUCGUGAAAACUCGAGGCUCAACCUCGAGACGUCGGUUGAAACCGUACGGCUAGAGUCCGGAAGAGGAGAGUGGAAUUCCCGGUGUAGCGGUGAAAUGCGCAGAUAUCGGGAAGAACACCCGUGGCGAAGGCGGCUCUCUGGGACGGUACUGACGCUGAGACGGCGAAAAGCGUGGGGAGCCGAACAGG